AACAAAGAGAACAUACCGGGAAGCAGAAAUCAAAGCAGAAAUGAACCGACGUCAAACGUAUACCAGCGUGAAAGCAACUACAGCAAGCGAAAGGGUUCAGGGUAAAGCAACUACAGCAAGCGAAAGGGUUCAGGGUAAAGUGCUACACAACAAAGGGUCAUACAGUCUCCGGAAAAGGCGUCGGCAAGGUAUUGAAAGAAAGGAUGGAAGCAAGCAAUUUUAUUUUACAAUAAUACGAAAUAUUGUGUGAAUGUUUAGUGCAUUUUUUAAAAGAAACGUUUACUUAUUAUUUUGCUACUACUUUUGUCCUUUUGUAAGUACAUAGUUGGUGAGUACUUGGUCAGUACAAUCGUAACUGACAUUAACAGACUUUGAUCCACUUGCAUUCUGGUUUAUUCUUGAUAAAAUUCAACACCGUAUGAAUAGUUAACAUUCACCAAACUUGUCCUUGUUUGGGAGACUGAAAUACUAUGUAAUGAACAUGUUGCAUAACAUAAUUAGCAAAAUAUGAACCUUGUUUGAUUUUUUUCUUUCAGAAUUUGAAUGCAGUAUGUUAUUACGCUUGUCUAUGCUUUCACCUUCUAGAUGAUUGUCCUUCGUCGUCAUAUAAACCAAAAAGGCGAAAUGACAUCAAUUCGGAAAUCAAAUCAAGAGCAGAAGUCAAGAAUAAGGAUAAAAGAGAUAUUAUUAUGAGUAGUUCUAAAGAAGACAGGAGAAUGAUGUCAUCCAAGUCAUCAAAACGAGUCUCGAGAAAGCGUAAAAGCAAGAUAUCCAUAACGAACGACAAUGCAAUUGUUGGAGGAGGAGACAAAUGUCAAAUGCAAACUAAACCACACUCAAGAAAAGAAACUGGCGAAAUUUGGACAACACAGAACAACUCGCGCUCGACAGCAAAUUUUGCUGAAUCAUUUUUGAAGAAAGUGGAUGUAAAACGACACAUCCCACCACCAGAAAGCGACGAUCCGCUCCCCUACUUAAAAACAAUUGGAGGAAUAUCGGUAUGUGAUGACAAUCUGAUAUGGGUCAAUUAUACUUUGCAUCGCCAAGUGAAACUUUUUACACCUUCAGGUGAAGUUCUCAAAACUGUACGUUUGGACGAUAGAUGCCAGUUCACCUGUUGCCUGCCAUCUGGGGAUCUGUUGUUGACUCAGGGAACCAUGUAUGGCUCGCAACCCAUUAUAACAUUGGUGCAGAGAACAGGGGACGUAAGAAAGUUUGCCAAUCUGUGUUCGUUCGCCAAAAAUUUGCUUGGAAUACUGUUCCAAGAUGAUAUGAUUUACGUCAUAGGACACAGAACACCUAAGAAAGACUUCAUAAUUACACUUAACAUGGACGGCGUAGUUCAGACGAUUAUAGACACAAAACCAGACAAGAUUAACAUAAAUCAUAUCAUUUCUUACUCUGGUCGGAUAUUUGCUGUUUCCACUGAUGGAUUUGCUAUAUUUCCGUUAGAAACUGCUUCCGUUUCGUCGAAAGAAAUUAACAAGGUUCAUGUCAAUCAUACGUAUUCCAAGACCGCAUGCUUUGAUAAUUUUGGAAAUCUUAUAAUUGGUCUAAGGUCUGAAAUCUUUGUGACUGAUCCAAGUUUGGAGCGUUCUCAUGAAAUACAAACCGGAUUUCCUGUUCUUGUCACAUCAACAGCUGUUGACAACCAAAAUCAGCUGUGGAUUGGCAUAGGAACGGGAGAUUUGUACAUUACUGAAUACCUAAAUAAAUGACAAUAUUGUACAUACAUAGUGUUGCAUAAAUAAAAAUGACCAGGAAACACAUUUGUAGGUAUUCAAACAAUAUAUAUAUUUAAAUUGAUAAUAAAUAUAUAUUUACUCUC
rnacentral:misc_RNA from 1 species